rnacentral:rRNA from 1 species
UACGGAAGGGGCAAGCGUUGUUCGGAAUCAUUGGGCGUAAAGGGCGCGUAGGUGGUUCUGUAUGUCUACCGUGAAAGCAUACAGCUCAACUGUAUUUUGUCGGUAGAAACUGCAGGACUUGAGGCUGGGAGGGGCUGGUGGAAUUCCCUGUGUAGCGGUGAAAUGCGUAGAGAUGGGGGAGAACACUCGUGGCGAAGGCGGCCAGCUAGACCAGUUCUGACACUGAGGCGCGGCAGCGUGGGGAGCAAACAGG